rnacentral:rRNA from 1 species
UCCCAGACUCCUACGGGAGGCAGCAGUGGGGAAUAUUGGGCAAUGGAGGAAACUCUUACCCAGCAAUGCCGCGUGAAUGAAGAAGGUCUUCGGAUUGUAAAGUUCUUUAAUUGGGGACGAAAAAAAUGACGGUACCCAAGGAAUAAGCCCCGGCUAACUACGUGCCAGCAGCCGCGGUAAUACGUAGGGGGCAAGCGUUGUUCGGAAUGACUGGGCGUAAAGGGUGCGUAGGCGGUGUAGCAAGUUAGAAGUGAAAACCAUGGGCUCAACCUGUGGCCUGCAUUUGAAACUGUUUUUCUUGAGUACUGGAGAGGCAGACGGAAUUCCUAGUGUAGCGGUGAAAUGCGUAGAUAUUAGGAGGAACACCAGUGGCGAAGGCGGUCUGCUGGACAGCAACUGACGCUGAGGCGCGAAAGCGUGGGGAGCAAACAGGAUUAGAUACCCUUGUA